rnacentral:rRNA from 1 species
AUGCAGCUCCUGGCAGGGUUCGGGGAGGCGAUGGGACUGCGCGGCAACCCUCAAAAAUCGUCGGUGGCAGCCCUAAACUGCGGCAACGUAGACCUCAUAGACGUCCUUCAGAACUUCGGCGGCGCUAGAGUAUGCUUCCCGAUCAGGUAUCUAGGUCUUCCGCUCUGCAUCUGCAGGCUACGGCUCGUGCACAUUCAGUACCUCCUUGAUCGCAUCCGCGCAAGGUUGGCGGCUUCGAAAGGCCGGCUCCUGCCGAUCGCAGGGCGCCGUGUGCUGGUCAGGUGCGUCCUCUCUGCGAUACCAGCCUUCGCCAUGGCUGUCCUGCAAAUCCCAAAGAAAUUCUACAAGGACGUCGACAAAGCGUGA